GUGCCAGCCCGCGGUAAGACGGAGGGUGCAAGCGUUGUUCGGAAUCAUUGGGCGUACAGGGUGCGCAGGCGGCCUGGCAUGUCCGAUGUGAAAGCCCGGGGCUCAACCCCGGAAUCGCAUUGGAAACUGUCAGGCUUGAGUCCGAGAGGGGCCAGUGGAAUUCCUGGUGUAGGGGUGAAAUCCGUAGAGAUCAGGAGGAACACCGGCGGCGAAAGCGACUGGCUGGAUCGGGACUGACGCUGAGGCACGAAAGCGUGGGCAGCGAACAGGAUUAGAUACCCUGGUAGUCC
rnacentral:rRNA from 1 species